GACGAACGCUGGCGGCGUGCUUAACACAUGCAAGUCGAACGGAAAGGCCCUGCUUUUGUGGGGUGCUCGAGUGGCGAACGGGUGAGUAACACGUGAGUAACCUGCCCUUGACUUUGGGAUAACUUCAGGAAACUGGGGCUAAUACCGGAUAGGAGCUCCUGCUGCAUGGUGGGGGUUGGAAAGUUUCGGCGGUUGGGGAUGGACUCGCGGCUUAUCAGCUUGUUGGUGGGGUAGUGGCUUACCAAGGCUUUGACGGGUAGCCGGCCUGAGAGGGUGACCGGCGACAUUGGGACUGCGGUACGGCCCAGACUCCUACGGGAGGCAGCAGUGGGGAAUAUUGCACAAUGGGCGGAAGCCUGAUGCAGCAACGCCGCGUGCGGGAUGACGGCCUUCGGGUUGUAAACCGCUUUCGCCUGUGACGAAGCGUGAGUGACGGUAAUGGGUAAAGAAGCACCGGCUAACUACGUG
rnacentral:rRNA from 1 species